AUGGAAAUGGUUGAGUGCUCCCUGGCCGCCUCCCGCGCCGCGAGGCACGUGCCCGGCCGGGUCCCGAGGUCCCCGGCGCCGGUUCUUGGUGUUGGCGCCGGGAGAGCCAGGCUCCGGGUGCGGUCGGAGAGGCGGGAGCAGCCUCCGCCGGUCGUCAGGGCCUCCGCGCCGCCGGAGCGCGACGGUGGGGCGCUGGGGAAGGCGGCUGCGGGGCUCGCUGCCGCUGCCGUGGUGUCGCUGACCGGCUUCGCCGGGGACUUGGCCCCGCCGCCGGCGCUGGCCGAGUCGCUCACGGUCGCCUUCCCCGUCUCCAAGGCCCGAGAGGUGAACCGGGUGCAGAGGACGCUGGUGGAGGCAUGGGGGUUGAUCCGCGAGACCUUCGUCGAUCCCACCUUCAACCACCAAGACUGGGACCAGAAACUUCAGCAGACGAUGGUGGAGAUGUUCCCGCUGAAAUCAGCAGACGCCGCCUACGGCAAGAUCAGUGGGAUGGUGUCCACGCUAGGCGACCCCUUCACAAGGAUCAUCACCCCCAAGGAAUAUCAGAGUUUCAGGAUCGGAAGUGAUGGGAAUUUGCAAGGGGUUGGCAUAUUCAUAAAUAGGGACCCUGCCUCAGGACGCUUGCUUGUUAUGAACUGCAUUGAGGGAGGCCCAGCCGACCGAGCGGGCAUACGUGAAGGCGAUGAGCUAGUUGAGAUCAAUGGGAAUAGUGUUUUGGGGUUGGACGUGGAAGCUGUGGCUCAGAGACUUAGAGGUCGUGCUGGAACGACUGUGGAAGUAAAACUAUUGGAUGGUACUGGAAAUGAAAGGAGUGGUAGGAUAAAGCAAAAAGAGGUCCAGCUAUCUCGUGAGGUUAUCAAUCUUUCACCUCUAUCAACGGCAAUUAUUUCCCAUAGAUCGGGUGAUGGGCAUGAGGGCAAGACUGGGUAUGUUAGGUUAGCUGCAUUUUCUCAGACUGCUGCUGCUGAAAUGGGAAGGGCCAUUAAAAAGAUGGAAGAUCAAGGUGUCCAGUCAUAUAUUUUAGAUCUGCGGAAUAAUCCAGGUGGUUUAGUAACAGCUGGUCUUGACGUGGCUCAAAUUUGGUUAGAUGGAGAUGAAACUCUAGUGAACACCGUUGACCGUGAGGGCAAUGUGCAAGCAAUAAAUAUGGUCCAAGGCCAAUCUUUAACACAUGAUCCUCUUGUGGUGCUUGUCAACGAAGAAAGUGCCAGUGCAAGCGAAAUUUUGGCUGGGGCAUUGCAUGACAAUGGCCGUGCUAUUCUGGUAGGCCACAAAACCUUCGGUAAAGGAAGAAUACAGAGCGUGACAGAGCUGGACGAUGGCUCUGCUCUAUUCAUCACGGUUGCAAAGUAUCUCUCUCCGGCACUGCACGAAAUCGACCAUGUCGGGAUCCAACCGGACAUACAAUGCACCGCUGACGCGCUAUCGUUACCGAGAGCGCCUUCGCUCACCGGGAACAACGAGGCCGCAAGUUUGGAGAUGGACUCGUGCAUUAUGGUGGCGGAGCAGGCGUUGGAGAUUCAGCAAUCGAAGGGUUCCGCUUCGUAG
rnacentral:rRNA from 1 species